rnacentral:rRNA from 1 species
AGGCGAGCGAGUGGGGGAAUAUUGCACAAUGGGCGCAAGCCUGAUGCAGCCAUGCCGCGUGUAUGAAGAAGGACCUUCGGGUUGUAAAGUACUUUCAGCAGUGAGGAAGGUGGGAUAUGUUAAUAGCAUAUUCAUUUGACGUUAGCUGCAGAAGAAGCACCGGCUAACUCCGUGCCAGCAGCCGCGGUAAUACGGAGGGUGCGAGCGUUAAUCGGAAUUACUGGGCGUAAAGCGCAUGCAGGUGGUUUGUUAAGUCAGAUGUGAAAGCCCGGGGCUCAACCUCGGAAUUGCAUUUGAAACUGGCAAACUAGAGUACUGUAGAGGGGGGUAGAAUUUCAGGUGUAGCGGUGAAAUGCGUAGAGAUCUGAAGGAAUACCGGUGGCGAAGGCGGCCCCCUGGACAGAUACUGACACUCAGAUGCGAAAGCGUGGGGAGCAAACAGGAUUAGAUACCCUGGUAG